rnacentral:rRNA from 1 species
AGUUUGAUCCUGGCUCANAAUGAACGCUGGCGGCAGGCUUAACACAUGCAAGUCGAACGGUAACAGAAGAAAGCUUGCUUUCUUGCUGACGAGUGGCGGACGGGUGAGUAAUGUAUGGGAAUCUGCCCUCUAGUUGGGGACAACAUAUGGAAACGUAUGCUAAUACCGAAUGUGAUCUACGGAUUAAAGGUGCCCUCUCCUUGGAAGGUAUCGCUAGAGGAUGAGCCCAUAUUANAUUAGCUAGUUGGUGGGGUAAAGGCCUACCAAGGCGACGAUCUAUAGCUGGUUUGAGAGGAUGAUCAGCCACACUGGGACUGAGACACGGCCCAGACUCCUACGGGAGGCAGCAGUGGGGAAUAUUGCACAAUGAGGGAAACCCUUGAUGCAGCCAUGCCGCGUGUGUGAAGAAGGCCCGAGGGUUGUAAAGCACUUUCAAUUGUGAGGAAAGCUAAGUAGCUAAUACCUGCUUAGNGUGACGNUUAACUUUAGAAGAAGCACCGGCUAAACUCUGGUGCCAGCAGCCCGCCGGUAAUACAGNGGGUGCAAGCGUUAUUCGGAAUUACUGGGCGUAAAGCGCGCGUAGGCGGACUGUUAAGUCGGUUGUGAAAGCCCUGGGCUCAACCUAGGAAUUGCAUCCGAUACUGGCAGUCUAGAGUUUAAGAGAGGGAAGGGGAAUUCCAGGUGUAGCAGUGAAAUGCGUAGAUAUCUGGAGGAACAUCAGUGGCGAAGGCGCCUUCCUGGCUUAAAACUGACGCUGAGGUGCGAAAGCGUGGGUAGCGAACGGGAUUAGAUACCCCGGUAGUCCACGCCGUAAACGAUGUCAACUAGCUGUUGGCCUUAUUAAAAAGGUUAGUAGCGAAGCUAACGCGAUAAGUUGACCGCCUGGGGAGUACGGUCGCAAGAUUAAAACUCAAA